rnacentral:rRNA from 1 species
AUUGAACGCUGGCGGCAGGCCUAACACAUGCAAGUCGAACGAGCGGCGGACGGGUGAGUAAUGUAUGGGAAUCUGCCCGAUAGAGGGGGAUAACUACUGGAAACGGUGGCUAAUACCGCAUACGAUCGGAUGUACCCAUAUGGGAUUAGCUAGUAGGGGGGGUAAAGGCUCACCUAGGCGCCGAUCCCUAGCUGGUCUGAGAGGAUGAUCAGCCACACGGGGACUGAGACACGGCCCAGACUCCUACGGGAGGCAGCAGUGGGGAAUAUUGCACAAUGGGCGAAAGCCUGAUGCAGCCAUGCCGCGUGUAUGAAGAAGGCCUUAGGGUUGUAAAGUACUUUCAGCGGGGAGGCGUUACCCGCAGAAGAAGCACCGGCUAACUCCGUGCCAGCAGCCGCGGUAAUUC